GGCUCGUUGGUCUAGAGGUAUGACUCUUGCUUCGACUGCGAGAGGUCCGUGGUUCAAAUCCUUGACAAGCCC